GUGGGGAAUAUUGGACAAUGGGCGAAAGCCUGAUCCAGCCAUGCCGCGUGUGUGAAGAAGGCCUUUUGGUUGUAAAGCACUUUAAGCGAGGAGGAGGCUCCUUUAGUUAAUACCUAAAGAGAGUGGACGUUACUCGCAGAAUAAGCACCGGCUAACUCUGUGCCAGCAGCCGCGGUAAUACAGAGGGUGCGAGCGUUAAUCGGAUUUACUGGGCGUAAAGCGUGCGUAGGCGGCUUUUUAAGUCGGAUGUGAAAUCCCCGAGCUUAACUUGGGAAUUGCAUUCGAUACUGGGAAGCUAGAGUAUGGGAGAGGAUGGUAGAAUUCCAGGUGUAGCGGUGAAAUGCGUAGAGAUCUGGAGGAAUACCGAUGGCGAAGGCAGCCAUCUGGCCUAAUACUGACGCUGAGGUACGAAAGCAUGGGGAGCAAACAGGAUUAGAAACCCUAGUAGUCC
rnacentral:rRNA from 1 species